GAACGAUGAUGCCCAGCUUGCUGGGUGGAUUAGUGGCGAACGGGUGAGUAACACGUGAGUAACCUGCCCCUGACUCUGGGAUAAGCGUUGGAAACGACGUCUAAUACUGGAUAUGAUCACUGGCCGCAUGGUCUGGUGGUGGAAAGAUUUUUUGGUUGGGGAUGGACUCGCGGCCUAUCAGCUUGUUGGUGAGGUAAUGGCUCACCAAGGCGACGACGGGUAGCCGGCCUGAGAGGGUGACCGGCCACACUGGGACUGAGACACGGCCCACACUCCUACGGGAGGCAGCAGUGGGGAAUAUUGCACAAUGGGCGAAAGCCUGAUGCAGCAACGCCGCGUGAGGGAUGACGGCCUUCGGGUUGUAAACCUCUUUUAGUAGGGAAGAAGCGAAAGUGACGGUACCUGCAAAAAAAGCACCGGCUAACUACGUGCCAGCAGCCGCGGUAAUACGUAGGGUGCAAGCGUUGUCCGGAAUUAUUGGGCGUAAAGAGCUCGUAGGCGGUUUGUCGCGUCUGCUGUGAAAUCCCGAGGCUCAACCUCGGGCUUGCAGUGGGUACGGGCAGACUAGAGUGCGGUAGGGGAGAUUGGAAUUCCUGGUGUAGCGGUGGAAUGCGCAGAUAUCAGGAGGAACACCGAUGGCGAAGGCAGAUCUCUGGGCCGUAACUGACGCUGAGGAGCGAAAGCAUGGGGAGCGAACAGGAUUAGAUACCCUGGUAGUCCAUGCCGUAAACGUUGGGCGCUAGAUGUAGGGACCUUUCCACGGUUUCUGUGUCGUAGCUAACGCAUUAAGCGCCCCGCCUGGGGAGUACGGCCGCAAGGCUAAAACUCAAAGGAAUUGACGGGGGCCCGCACAAGCGGCGGAGCAUGCGGAUUAAUUCGAUGCAACGCGAAGAACCUUACCAAGGCUUGACAUACACCGGAAACGGCCAGAGAUGGUCGCCCCCUUGUGGUCGGUGUACAGGUGGUGCAUGGUUGUCGUCAGCUCGUGUCGUGAGAUGUUGGGUUAAGUCCCGCAACGAGCGCAACCCUCGUUCUAUGUUGCCAGCGGGUUAUGCCGGGGACUCAUAGGAGACUGCCGGGGUCAACUCGGAGGAAGGUGGGGAUGACGUCAAAUCAUCAUGCCCCUUAUGUCUUGGGCUUCACGCAUGCUACAAUGGCCGGUACAAAGGGCUGCGAUACCGUAAGGUGGAGCGAAUCCCAAAAAGCCGGUCUCAGUUCGGAUUGAGGUCUGCAACUCGACCUCAUGAAGUCGGAGUCGCUAGUAAUCGCAGAUCAGCAACGCUGCGGUGAAUACGUUCCCGGGCCUUGUACACACCGCCCGUCAAGUCAUGAAAGUCGGUAACACCCGAAGCCGGUGG
rnacentral:rRNA from 1 species